UCUCCUGUUGUUGACACAUCAGACUUUUAGAGUAUUGAGAGAUAGAUAUGUCAACAGAUGAAAAAACUAUAAAACACAUUUCGUUUGUACACAUCUGAACUAAUAUUGACACAUAAGCUUGCAACUCCAUCCCAACGAGGAAUCAAUCGCCUUUGCUUCCGUGAAGAUCAAGCCGUUCCGUAAGGGAUAUAGAUGCCUCGCCUCAACAAAUUGUGUUGAUGGUGGCACGAUGUAUGGUUGAAAUUAUCCCUCGUCUUCAAGGGAUGUCUAGGGAAAUUGAUCAGAUGAAAAUUCCUAUGAUUUACAGUAUAAUGAUCUCAUUCGUGGAUGUUAAUUCUGGUCCUGAAUCGCUUCUGGUUAAGGAUGGGUUUGUGGUAUCUGGGUCGGGUUCGGCUGAAAAAGUUGUAAGGUUAUGGGAGAUGAUUUCAGAGGAAACGAAGGAAAAGUCAGUCUUAUGUUAAUUCUGAAGAAGGUAAAGAUGGAUGUGAUGACAACUUUGGUGCACACCUACAGAGAAUCAAAGAUGGCAAUAAGCUUCUUGUCUCUAAUUGGAGGAAGAGUUUUCACAUGGCUGGGCCACUGACCUUUGAGACUAAAGAGUUCGUUGUGGAUAUGAAUGACAAAAAAGUUGAUGGUUCUUCAUCUAGGUGAUGCUCUUUGUAGAUGGAUUUAUUUUUUUCCAGUGAUGGGAUCUGCACUCUUUUUUUUACAGUUUUUGGUAAUUUGAAUUUAUUCUUUUGGCAUGAGGGAAAGGCAAUUCAAAGUUGCUGUUAGGCCUGAACUUUAUCAGCUCAGCAAUUUCUUCGCAGGAAACAAAGAAAUGAUGCUCAAUACGAAACGAUCCAAGUUCUGAGUGUUGUUCUCAGCAAUAUGACAUCGCAAAGGCCGCCAUAGAGGCAAUGAAAAGUGUUUUGUAUAAGAAGAUUAGGAGAGGAAAAUUUAAAAAGUGGUGAAGAAUGUUGAGGAUCUGAUGAAUUUAGAGCCUCAUGAAGUUUAUUUGAGUUUAUUUGAGCUGAUUUUCUCAUGAUUGUUCGUAGCUCUGAACAUGUUUGUUGAACCUUUGUUGUGAUCUUGAGAAUAAUCUUUAAUGAAACUGAGAUUUCGAAA